rnacentral:rRNA from 1 species
AACGUACGCUGGCGGCACGCCUAACACAUGCAAGUCGAGCGAGGUAGCAAUACCUAGCGGCAGACGGGUGAGUAACAUGUGGGAAUCUGCCUUUUGGUUCGGAACAACACGGGGAAACCUGUGCUAAUACCGGAUAAGUCCUAACGGAGAAAGUUUUAAUGCCAAAAGAUGAGCCCGCAUUUGAUUAGCUAGUUGGUAAGGUAAAAGCUUACCAAGGCGACAAUCAAUAGCUGAUUUGAGAGGAUGAUCAGCCACACUGGGACUGAGAUACGGCCCAGACUCCUACGGGAGGCAGCAGUGGGGAAUCUUGCACAAUGGGCGAAAGCCUGAUGCAGCGAUGCCGCGUGAGUGAAGAAGGCCUUUGGGUUGUAAAGCUCUUUUGUCGGGAAAGAUAAUGACUGUACCCGAAGAAUAAGGUCCGGCUAACUUCGUGCCAGCAGCCGCGGUAAUACGAAGGGACCUAGCGUAGUUCGGAAUUACUGGGCGUAAAGAGUAUGUAGGCGGCUAGAUAAGUUAAUUGUGAAAGCCCAAAGCUUAACUUUGGAAUUGCAAUUAAAACUAUUUAGCUGGAGUAUGAUAGAGGAAAGCGGAAUACAUAGUGUAGAGGUGAAAUUCGUAGAUAUUAUGUAGAACACCAGUUGCGAAGGCGGCUUUCUGGAUCAUUACUGACGCUGAGAUACGAAAGUAUGGGUAGCGAAGAGGAUUAGAUACCCUCGUAGUCCAUACCAUAAACGAUGAUUAUUAGAUGUGGGGAAUUAUUUCUCUGUAUCAUAGCUAACGCGUUAAAUAAUCCGCCUGGGGAGUACGACCGCAAGGUUAAAACUCAAAUGAAUUGACGGGGACCCGCACAAGCGGUGGAGCAUGUGGUUUAAUUCGAAGCAACGCGCAGAACCUUACCAACCCUUGACAUGUUUGUCGCGAGACUAAGAAAUUAGUCUCU